rnacentral:pre_miRNA from 1 species
AAUAAACCAAUUUCUGCGUUUUUGAUUGAAUUUUUGACUCUUCGUCUUAUUUGAAAUUUUUUUAUGAUUAAUAUUUAUAUUGUUAUUACAUGAUAAAAUAUGAAUAGUAUUUUGCAUGUGACUAUUUUUUUCAAUUUUUUAAUAAAUUAUUCAAAUAAGACGGAUGAUCAAACGCUCUAAUGAUAAAACUCAGG